ACAUGUCCGGAAUCCGAAGAGAUUGGAGUGCUCGCAACGAGAACCGGAACACAGGUGCUGCAUGGCUGUCGUCAGCUCGUGUCGUGAGAUGUUGGGUUAAGUCCCGCAACGAGCGCAACCCUUGUCAUUAGUUGCCAUCAUUUGGUUGGGCACUCUAAUGAGACUGCCGGUGACAAACCGGAGGAAGGUGGGGAUGACGUCAAGUCCUCAUGGCCCUUAUAGGUGGGGCUACACACGUCAUACAAUGGAUGGUACAAAGGGUCGCCAACCCGCGAGGGGGAGCCAAUCCCAUAAAGCCAUUCGUAGUCCGGAUCGCAGUCUGCAACUCGACUGCGUGAAGUCGGAAUCGCUAGUAAUCGUGGAUCAGAAUGUCACGGUGAAUACGUUCCCGGGUCUU
rnacentral:rRNA from 1 species